rnacentral:lncRNA from 1 species
AUCGAUUGAAUCCCAUGCAGAAAGCCGCCCAACAUACUAGAAAUACUCGUCCAGCAUAAGAAGAGUAUCAAAAUUAUGGGAUAAACAUACCAAAAGAGAAGCUGUGGGAGGAAUAAUGAGGCCAAGAAACAAAGCAUCAGACAUGGUGAAAACUUUUUGACUUGAAUGAGCAUCCACUUGUUUCUGGUGUUAAUCCCAGCAAAUGUGAGUGGGACUCCAACAAAAAUGAAGGACACAAGAAAGAGAAGAAGAGUGAGAAGACAAAAUUUCAUCAAAGUGAGGUGAUGAACUAUAUCAAAAGGAUCC